GCUCUAUGUACCUUAGCAGCGAACGGGUGAGUAACACGUAGAUAAUCUGUCCUAUAUUGGGGGAUAGCCCGAUGAAAGUUGGAUUAAUACCGCAUACAGCUAUAUAGUUGCAUGAUUAUAUAGUGAAAGAUUUAUUGAUAUAGGAGGAGUCUGCGGCACAUUAGCUAGUAGGUGAGGUAAGAGCUUACCUAGGCGACGAUGUGUAGCCGGUCUGAGAGGAUGAACGGCCACAAUGGAACUGAGACACGGUCCAUACUCCUACGGGAGGCAGCAGUGGGGAAUAUUGCACAAUGGGGGAAACCCUGAUGCAGCAACGCCGCGUGAGUGAAGAAGGUUUUCGGAUUGUAAAGCUCUGUUAGCAGGGAAGAGGAAGGACGGUACCUGCAGAGGAAGCCACGGCUAACUACGUGCCAGCAGCCGCGGUAAUACGUAGGUGGCAAGCGUUGUUCGGAAUAACUGGGCGUAAAGGAUGCGUAGGCGGUUAAAUAAGUUAUAUGUUAAAUAUAUAGGCUUAACCUGUAGAAAGCAUAUAAAACUGUUUAACUAGAGUGCAGGAGAGGUAAGUGGAAUUCCUAGUGUAGCGGUGAAAUGCGUAGAGAUUAGGAAGAACACCAGUGGCGAAGGCGACUUACUGGAC
rnacentral:rRNA from 1 species